AAGACACCAGCAGACUAAUCCAGCACAAAUAAGUGCAUAAAAAGUCCCCAAAAUGAAGUUUUUGAACCUCAUAAUUAAAUUCAAAAUGAGGGAAAAACUGUAAAAAGGUCCACUUUUUG